rnacentral:tRNA from 1 species
UUAAUUGAAACCAAAUUAGAGGUUAAUUAUUGUUAAUAAUUAAAUUGAAAUUAAAUUUCCAAUUAAA